GAAUUAGCAGGAUAAUAAAAAAUAAAUUUUAUGUGAAGAAUAUUUUAAACCAUUAACUCGUGAUGUAAGGCCCAUGAAAUUGGGUUUGACUUAACAUUUUGUAAAGGUGAAAAAAUGAAAAUUUAAUCUUGAUUGUGUUACCUCCCUAUCAUAAUGAAAAAAAUGGUUUUUUAGAAAAGUACCCACUAGGCAAGCUAUUGGUACUGAAAGGCUUAUGCACAAUUUUGGAUAGAUGAUUAUAAGGAUUUUGAUGAUAUGAACAUUGAAAAUAAGAACAUCAAACACCAUUCAUCAAGAAGACAAUAUAUU
rnacentral:lncRNA from 1 species